rnacentral:rRNA from 1 species
CGAACGGUAAAUAUUUAGCAAUAGAUAUGAGAGUGACGUACGGGUGCGUAACACGUAUGCAACCUACCCUUUACAGGCGGAUAGCUCGGGGAAACUCGAAUUAACCCGCCGUAAUAUAAUUGGAUGGCAUCAUUUGAUUAUUAAAUCUACGGAGGUAAAGGAUGGGCAUGCGUCUGAUUAGUUAGUUGGCGGGGUAACGGCCCACCAAGACGAUGAUCAGUAGGGGAACUGAGAGGUUGAUCCCCCACACUGGCACUGAGAUACGGGCCAGACUCCUACGGGAGGCAGCAGUAGGGAAUAUUGGUCAAUGGAUGGAAGUCUGAACCAGCCAUGCCGCGUGCAGGAAGAAGGCCUUCUGGGUUGUAAACUGCUUUUGCCAGGGGAUAAAAUGACCUUGCGAGGUUAAUUGAAGGUACCUGGUGAAUAAACCACGGCUAACUACUUGCCAGCAUCCGCGGUAAUACGUAGGUGGCAAGCGUUGUCCGGAUUUAUUGGGUUUAAAGGGUGCGUAGGCGGCUUAUUAAGUCAGUGCUGAAAUAUUCUAGCUCAACUAGAGGGGUGCCAUUGAUACUGAUGAGCUUGAGUACAUAUGAGG